rnacentral:rRNA from 1 species
AUUGAACGCUGGCGGCAUGCCUUACACAUGCAAGUCGAACGGCAGCACGGGGGCAACCCUGGUGGCGAGUGGCGAACGGGUGAGUAAUACAUCGGAACGUGCCCGGUAGUGGGGGAUAGCUCGGCGAAAGCCGGAUUAAUACCGCAUACGACCUGCGGGUGAAAGCGGGGGAUCGCAAGACCUCGCGCUAUCGGAGCGGCCGAUGUCAGAUUAGGUUGUUGGUGGGGUAAAGGCCACCAAGCCGACGAUCUGUAGCUGGUCUGAGAGGACGACCAGCCACACUGGGACUGAGACACGGCCCAGACUCCUACGGGAGGCAGCAGUGGGGGAAUUUUUGGACAA